CGAGGAAUCUCUGGUGGAGGUAUAUGUCAGCAGUGGCCCUGCAGGGUUGGGGCCACUGAGUGCAGCAGUGCCUGCAUGGGACCUUUUG
rnacentral:pre_miRNA from 1 species